AUGGUCAACACGAGCAAAGGGUCAGCGCCACGAGACGAAAGCUGCCGACCGAACAAGGGCACCCCAACUGCCCCUUUCUCCUCUUCCCAUGCGAGGGAGCGCCAUGCCCGGCCAGCAGAGCAGAGAAACGCGGCCAUCGGCCCAUCACACCUGGCUUUUCUCCUCCUGCUUGGGGCUCUGGCCCGGCGGUGGCGGCUGGGCCGGCGAGGCCUGUGUCUCGCUGUCGGUACGCAGGCGUCUGGGGACAAGCGACUUGAGGGGUGCCAUCCACUUCAUCCACAGGUCCAAGUCGACAUCGCCCCAGGGCAGCGAGGGGUUCUUGGCCGCCCGCCGCCGGAAAUCCUCAUCGUAGUUCAUCCAGGAGGUGCCCCCGUAGGUGGCGUGCAGCUUGCGGAUGGUGUCCAGGUACUUGAACAUGGCUCCGCAGCGCGCCGGGUGCUUCUCGCACAGCACGCUGGCGUACACCAGGAAGGCCGAGACCCACUGGUCCAGCGUGUCCCCCGGGCGCGGGCCGUGCUCGGGGGCCAGCUCUGUGUGGAGCAAGGAAAAGAGGUCAAUGAACUCCCCCCGCCAGAUCCGCUCCUUCGUGGCCUUGGCCAACUUGUAGCCCAGCGGCCGCCGCAGCCCCACGUAGGGGGUGGCCGCCGCCUCGGCCUCGCCCUGCCCCGCCGCCGCCGCCGCUGCCGGAGCUGGGGCCGGAGCAGGAGCAGGAGCAGGGGCUGGGGCUGGGGCUGGAGCUGGGGCCGGAGCCGGAGCCGGGGCCCCGGCCGCGCCGCUCGCCGCUGCCGCCUCGGCGCAGGGGCUGGCGGCCGCCGCCGCUGCCGCCGCCGCCCCCAGCGCGGCCUGGCGCUCCAGCCAGCGCGGGUUCACGUAGACGGUCCGCAGGCGCGGCGCGGCCCCGGCCGCCGCCGCCGCCGCCGCCCGCGCCGAGCCCUCGGCGCCGGGCUGAAGCCGCAGCACGGCCAGGGCGGCGGGCGCGCCGGCGGGCAGGUCGCUGCCGUCCCGCCGCGGGGCCGGCUGGGCCGCCGCCGGCACCUGCAGCAGCGAGGGCGCCGCCCAGGGCGGAGAGCCGCCCCUAGGCCCGGCCGCCGCCGCCAGCGCCUCUAG
rnacentral:lncRNA from 1 species